UGGGGAAUAUUGGACAAUGGGGGGAACCCUGAUCCAGCAAUGCCGCGUGUGUGAAGAAGGCCUGAGGGUUGUAAAGCACUUUCAGUGGGGAGGAGGAUUUGCGGGUUAAGAGCUGGCAAAUUGGACGUUACCCACAGAAGAAGCACCGGCAAACUCUGUGCCAGCAGCCGCGGUAAUACAGAGGGUGCAAGCGUUAAUCGGACUUACUGGGCGGAAAGGGGGCGUAGGCGGGGGCUUCAGUUAGUUGUG
rnacentral:rRNA from 1 species